GAUGAGAACGUAGCGAAAUGCGAUACUUGGUGUGAAUUGCAGAAUCCCGUGAACCAUCGAGUCUUUGAACGCAAGUUGCGCCCGAAGCCGUUAGGCCGAGGGCACGCCUGCCUGGGCGUCACACGUCGUUGCCCCCCCAUCUACUCCUUCGGGAUUGCGGGGGGCGGAUGAUGGCCUCUCGUGCGCCUCGUCGCGCGGUUGGCCUAAAUGCCAAGUCCUCGGCGACGCACGCCACGACAAUCGGUGGUUGCGAAACCUCGGUUGCCUGUCGUGUGCGGUCGUCGCGCAUCGAGGGCUCGAAAAAAUUGCCGGGCUUCGGCUCGACUUUCAACGCGACCCCAGGUCAGGCGGGGUUACCCGCUGAAUUUAAGCAUAUCAAUAAGCGGAGGA
rnacentral:misc_RNA from 1 species